UGUACUUUCAGUUAUUCCAUUAAGUACUAACCUUGGAGCCUAAGGAAAUUUGUAGAUAAAAAUUCCAAAUAGAAAGAAAUGUUCUUAGGGAAGCAAGCUUAUGGUUAAUGUAUGUAAACACAAGGAUCUGAAGAGGGGAGUGGGCUCUUUCUGGAAAGACACUGGCUGCAUGAGAAGGAUUUGGUGCAGGAGAGAUUUUCCAUUGCUGGAGGUGAGGCUGGAGGGUGCUGUGUGGAGGGAAUGGUGGGAGAUUUCUAGGGGUGAGAAUGUCUGCUAGACUACAGCCCACAAGAAGAUAGGGUCCUCGAUCUACAGGUGCAAGCUUCUGUAAUUUGCCAACAAUAUGAAUGAAUUUGAAAGUGGCUCUUCUUCUCCAGAGCCUCCAGAUACAGUCUGCCUUGAGUGUGAGUCCCUGAGCAGAGAGCCCAGCCUAGCUGUUCCCGGACUUCUGACCCACAGAACUUGAGAUGAGCCACAUUGUUCAGAGAGAAUAUAUGGGAAGGAGGGAGAAAUCUGAAGAUUUCAGGAGAUCUCUGAAGACCUUGAAUAACUCACAGAAUUCUUCUAACUUGACCUUGUGGGAGAUGCUGUAUUACUGAGAUUUACCAAGCAGGGAGACAGCCAAUGUGGUUGAGAGUGCUGAUGAACUAAUGGAACUCGUACACUUCCAGUGGCAGGUGAAAACGGAUGAAUUUCAUCACUCUAGCAUAAAUCUAAUCAUUCCAAGGAUAAACUAUGUCACCUGAGGAUUGCACUCCACUCUCCUUCCUCCAGGACUCUUUGGAAGUAGCAGGUGAAAGUGUGGAUGAGAAGAGAGUGGAUGGGCCUAAGAAAGAUAUUUAUGAAGUUAAAGCAGAAAUCCUUAAGAUGCUCAAAAGGUAAGACAACAUUUCUAG